UACGUAGGGUCCGAGCGUUGUCCGGAAUUAUUGGGCGUAAAGGGCUCGUAGGCGGUUUGUCGCGUCGGGAGUGAAAACUCAGGGCUCAACCUUGAGCGUGCUUUCGAUACGGGCAGACUAGAGGUAUGCAGGGGAGAACGGAAUUCCUGGUGUAGCGGUGGAAUGCGCAGAUAUCAGGAGGAACACCGAUGGCGAAGGCAGAUCUCUGGGCCGUAACUGACGCUGAGGAGCGAAAGCAUGGGGAGCGAACAGG
rnacentral:rRNA from 1 species